rnacentral:rRNA from 1 species
GAUGAACGCUGGCGGCGUGCUUAAUACAUGCAAGUCGAACGGAGACUGUAGCAAUACUGUCUUAGUGGCGAACGGGUGAGUAACGCGUUGGUGACCUGCCCCGAAGAGGGGGAUAACAGUCCGAAAGGAUUGCUAAUACCCCAUGUGGUCGUUUGGAUUAGAUGCCUUACGACUAAACGGAUUUAUUCGCUUCGGGAGGGGCCUGCGUCCCAUCAGCUAGUUGGUAGGGUAAUAGCCUACCAAGGCGAUGACGGGUAGGGGACCUGAGAGGGUGGCCCCCCACAAUGGAACUGAAACACGGUCCAUACACCUACGGGUGGCAGCAGUAGGGAAUAUUGGUAAUCUGGGAAACCGGGAACCAGCAACGCCGCGUGCGCGAUGAAGGCCUUCGGUUGUAAAGCGCUUUUAAGGGUAUGAGGAAGGACAGUACCUUUAGAAUAAGCCUCGGCUAACUACGUG